rnacentral:rRNA from 1 species
CCUACGGGGGGCAGCAGUGGGGGAUAUUGCACAAUGGGGGGAACCCUGAUGCAGCGACGCCGCGUGGGUGAAGAAGCGCCUCGGCGCGUAAAGCCCUGUCAGCAGGGAAGAAAAUGACGGUACCUGAAGAAGAAGCCCCGGCUAACUACGUGCCAGCAGCCGCGGUAAUACGUAGGGGGCAAGCGUUAUCCGGAUUUACUGGGUGUAAAGGGAGCGUAGACGGCGUAUCAAGUCUGAUGUGAAAGGCAGGGGCUCAACCCCUGGACUGCAUUGGAAACUGGUAUGCUUGAGUGCCGGAGGGGUAA